GCAAAGUGGCCGAGAACUCAGGCAAAAGAUUGUAACUCUUUUUACGGACACCACCCCUUUGCA
rnacentral:tRNA from 1 species